GGGCAGGCGGAGGCGGCGGCGGCGGCAGCGCGCAUGGAGGCGGCGGCGGCCCCGACCCCGAUCCCGAGUGGCGGUCCCGGUCCCCUGCUGCUCUGUCUGGUCCUUGCCUCCGGCCUGGCAGUUCUCAGCGGCGUGGGAGCCGAUGCCAAUGUCACCACAAGGCAUGGCACAGAGGGGCUCCCCUGUGGCACAGAUGAGGGCUGCACAGGGAACGUGACGCAGCUGAAGCGGCAGGGACACUUCUCCAGGUGCCCGGAGGAGUACACACACUACUGUGUCAGAGGGAGAUGUCGCUUCCUCGUGGCAGAGGAGACACCAGCUUGUGUGUGCGAACAAGGCUACACAGGGGCUCGCUGUGAGAGGGUGGACAUCUUCUACCUGCGAGGUGACCAGGGCCAGAUUGUGAUCAUCUCCGUGAUUGCUGCCAUCGCCAUCCUCAUUGCCCUCAUCGUCUGCGCCUGCAUCUGCAGCCAGUAUGUGGAGAGGGGGAGACAGGCCGCUGUCGGAAGCAGCGCAGGAAGAGAAAGGCAGAAGAGAUGGAGACGUUAAACAAGAAUUUACCUCCCAAAAGUGAGGAUGUGCUGGAGACAGGCAUUGCAUGAAGGAACUCCAGGUACCUGCGGGCAGGUCCCAGACAGUGGCAGUGGUUGGUGUGAUGGACAAGGGCUGAAUCAUACAACAGUUUCAAUAAAGGGUCGAUGGAAAGGUG